rnacentral:rRNA from 1 species
GAUGACCAUAGCGAGUUGGUCCCACUCCUUCCCAUCCCGAACAGGACAGUGAAACGACUCAGCGCCGAUGAUAGUGCGGAAUCCCGUGUGAAAGUAGGACAUCGUCAGGC